AGAGGGUGCGAGCGUUAAUCGGAUUUACUGGGCGUAAAGCGUGCGUAGGCGGCUUUUUAAGUCGGAUGUGAAAUCCCUGAGCUUAACUUAGGAAUUGCAUUCGAUACUGGGAAGCUAGAGUAUGGGAGAGGAUGGUAGAAUUCCAGGUGUAGCGGUGAAAUGCGUAGAGAUCUGGAGGAAUACCGAUGGCGAAGGCAGCCAUCUGGCCUAAUACUGACGCUGAGGUACGAAAGCAUGGGGGGAGCAAACAGGAUUAGAUACCCUGGUAGUCCAUGCCCGUAAACGAUGUCUACUAGCCGUUGGGGCCCUUUGAGGCUUUAGUGGCGCAGCUAACGCGAUAAGUAGACCCGCCUGGGAGUACGGUCGCAAGACUA
rnacentral:rRNA from 1 species